GCGAAACUGCGAAUGGCUCAUUAAAUCAGUUAUCGUUUAUUUGAUAGUACCUACUACUUGGAUAACCGUGGUAAUUCUAGAGCUAAUACAUGCUAAAAACCCCGACCGAAGGGGUGUAUUUAUUAGAUUAAAAACCAAUGCCCUUCGGGGCUCUUUGGUGAUUCAUAAUAACUUUUCGAAUCGCAUGGCCUUGCGCCGGCGAUGGUUCAUUCAAAUUUCUGCCCUAUCAACUUUCGAUGGCAGGGUCUUGGCCUGCCAUGGUUACAACGGGUAACGGAGGGUUAGGGCUCGACCCCGGAGAAGGAGCCUGAGAAACGGCUACUACAUCCAAGGAAGGCAGCAGGCGCGCAAAUUACCCAAUCCCGAUUCGGGGAGGUAGUGACAAUAAAUACUGAUACAGGGCUCUUUUGGGUCUUGUAAUUGGAAUGAGUACAAUUUAAAUCCCUUAACGAGGAACAAUUGGAGGGCAAGUCUGGUCCAGCAGCCGCGGUAAUUCCAGCUCCAAUAGCGUAUAUUAAAGUUGUUGCAGUUAAAAAGCUCGUAGUUGAACCUUGGGCCUGGCUGGCCGGUCCGCCUCACCGCGUGCACUGGUUCGGCCGGGCCUUCCCUCUGGGGAACCUCAUGGUCUUCACUGAUCGUGAGGGGACCAGGACUUUUACUGUGAAAAAAUUAGAGUGUUCAAAGCAGGCUAUGCUCGAAUACAUUAGCAUGGAAUAAUAAAAUAGGACGUGUGGUUCUAUUUUGUUGGUUUCUAGGACCGCCGUAAUGAUUAAUAGGGACAGUCGGGGGCAUCAGUAUUCAAUUGUCAGAGGUGAAAUUCUUGGAUUUAUUGAAGACUAACUACUGCGAAAGCAUUUGCCAAGGAUGUUUUCAUUAAUCAGGAACGAAAGUUAGGGGAUCGAAGACGAUCAGAUACCGUCGUAGUCUUAACCAUAAACUAUGCCGACUAGGGAUCGGACGGUGUUACUUAUGACCCGUUCGGC
rnacentral:rRNA from 2 species